ensembl:lncRNA
GGAAUGGGCAUGUGAUCCACAGGGGACCCAGCAAGGCUGGAGAGGUUUCAUCAGGACCCCACUCACAGAGAUGUUAGCCCUUCCCCCAGGGGAGGUCUUUGUCCCUUUCUUGGUUCGUCUCCUCGAGUAGCCUACGAACUGCUCCAGGACAGGAGUUUCUUGCAGAACAAAAGCUGAAAAUAAACAACCCCCCAAAUUCAGUGGCUGACAACCGUGAACACUUAUUCGACUCACAGGUGGCUCCACUGCACUGCGAGAGGACCAGUGGAAAUAUACAAUGCCUUUUAAGACUUGGCUUGGAACUAGAUCACUGUCACUUCCAGCCAUCAUCCAAUGGCCAAACCAAAUCACAUGACCAAACCCUCCAUCAUGGGAUAAGGGAGAGGCACUGCCUCAAGGGAGAGGGGAGGGAAUAUUUGCUGAGCGAUAAUCCAAUCUAUUAAAGCAUGUAAAGCCCCUGGCACUGUGCCUGGCAUAGAAACUCAGACUAUUAAUUCCCUUUCAUCCCAUGUUGCGUCAUUACUAUAUUUUACAGCUCAGAUUAAUUCAUUAUAAUUCACUGUAAUAA